GUCGAGAAUCUUUCACAAUGGGGGCAACCCUGAUGGAGCGACGCCGCGUGGAGGAUAAGGUCUUCGGAUUGUAAACUCCUGUCAUGCGUGAACAAGGUUGCUUGGUUAAUACCUGGGCAAAUUGAUGGUAACGCAAGAGGAAGAGACGGCUAACUCUGUGCCAGCAGCCGCGGUAAUACAGAGGUCUCAAGCGUUGUUCGGAAUCACUGGGCGUAAAGGGUGCGUAGGUGGCGUGGUAAGUCAGAUGUGAAAGCCCGGGGCUCAACCUCGGAACUGCAUCCGAUACUGCCAUGCUAGAGUACUGGAGAGGUGACUAGAAUUCUCGGUGUAGCAGUGAAAUGCGUAGAUAUCGAGAGGAAUACCAAAGGCGUAGGCAGGUCACUGGACAGUUACUGACACUGAGGCACGUAGGCCAGGGGAGCGAACGGGAUUAGAUACCCGGGUAGUCC
rnacentral:rRNA from 1 species